GUCUCCGUCGUUCAAUGGAUAGGACAUGAGAUUGCGGAUCUUAAAAUGUAGGUUCGAUUCCUACCGGAGACA
rnacentral:tRNA from 1 species